CCUCACCCCACCCCCCACCCCUCCACCCUCCAUCCCUCACUCUUUCUUUCCUCGGGAAACUAUUGUCCCUUUUCCCAUCGUACCCUCCACAACCUCCCUAUUCUUAUUAUUACCCUCCUCUGCCCCAGACUUUAAUGCCUCAUUAUUCUGUAUUUGGGGCCUGGAAUCUUCUCUUGCGCCGGCAGUAGGGGAAAACAUGGAUUCUACAUUUCUUUGGUUCUUUAUUGCCAGGUUGUGCGCAGGAUUUGAGAGCAGCUUUCCGGGAGAAGACGGAUUUUGCUGCCAUCAACAAUCAUGCAGCCCGCUCCUGGCAAGAGCUCCAUCCACGCUGGAGAUCCAAAUGCAACACGUUUUCCCUGCAGCCUGUGGCUCGAUCUCACAUUGUCAACCAGCGGAGGUCACACACUAAUGUGUGAACAUCGGCCCCUGUCCUCAGACCUGAAAGGUAGAUGAAGCUUUCCGCUUGGACAAGGCCACAAAGACACAUCUCCCAGCUGGUUUUUACAGGAUGUUGAGUUGCCUGCCACCAAUUUCUUUUGUAUUAUAUGUCAGUAUGGAGGUUUGCAGUGCUGUGGACACAGAUACACGAGCUUGUGAUUAGGAUUGAAACGUACAAGCUAGGGAUGGGUGUGUUGGGAUGCGGAAGACUUUACAUCUUUAAAAAAAAAAAAAUCUUACAUAAAGGGAGGCGUUGUGAAUCAGUUGCAUCAGGAUGUUGUGGUCAGUGUUACAUCUUGUGCCAAGGUUUGGAUGGCUCAGAAAAGAAAGAUGGUGAAGGACUGAACAAAAGCACUUCUAAUCUAGUGAACUGCUGACUCGUUUGAGGCACUUUUGGCCAUCAAUGACUUCUUUGUAGACUCUUUAUUAAUGCUAUUGAUGCAAAUUGAUAGAAUGACAUUAAAAACAUGUUGAUUGAUCCAGUGAUGAAUGAAAAAAUUGCAUUCCCCACCUUUGUGACUCACUAUUUCCUUUAUUCUUUAAUUCACCGUUUCUGUCUGGCAGACACGGUUCAAAAUUACUUUUAGAUUUUCAGUUGUUAUUUGCGGAACUGAAAUAUAAAUGUGCUGUGUGUAUGUUUAUAUACCUACAUUUAACAAUACGCUUAGUUAUUUUAGCAGUGCUGAUAUAUAAGAGUGCAGCUCACACAGCAGGACUACGAGUCAUCAGUGAUCUACCCUCUAUCUACUGUGUGUGUGGGGAAAGAGGAUGUGUAGUGGUCAGGCACUGAUCACCGUGAGAGUGUUAGGACCCCGACCUCGACCCCAACGUGACCCCAGCUCAGUUUUACUGCCUUCAGCCUGCUACCACCUACACCUGUCGUCACCCAUUAGAUAGUAUGGCACACAACGCCACAGGUUUUAUUCUCGUUCACACUUUGACCUUUCUUUCACCAACAUAUACACAUGAUAUACAACAGACAGUAAACCUUGCCCGUUUUUGAUGAGCGGCUGCAUCUGUCAGAGAGAACACACUGUGCACACAUGUUUGGAGGGAAUCCACUGUACUGUAUAAGACUAGGCUUUUACUUUAUUAGUUUUUCAGUGCAGUUUUUUAGUUCAGGAUUCAGAAUGUAUGCAAACAUAUGUAUAUUAAAAUAUGUCCUACAAACAUA